CUCUCACACCCCACACAGCGUGAGCAAAGGGAAAACGCAGCAUGUCUACACUCAGUAUACAUCAGACCGGCACAUACAGGUACUCUGAGGGUUAGAUCUUCCCUCUCCUACCGUCCCCUCUCACCUGCCCUGCGGAAGGCGGUCAUGGACUCCAUCACAGCGGCCCGCAAGUCGAACGCUCCAGCCUGCGCUCCAUGCCACAUCAUGGCAAACUCCCCUGACACGUUGUACACCGCCAGAGGAUACGGUAGACCUGGUUUCACCAUCAGCAUAUCAGCUCCUUCUCUCACGUCUCGCUCCUGUAGCACAGGACAACGUAGGAAUGAAUGACCUUGGAGCUAAGAGAGCCACAGACAGGGUAAG